CUCUGAUUGGCCAGUAAGUCUGGAGUGACUCGAGCACCUCCCUUAGAUUUAGAGUGUGCUGAAGGUACACAGUGUAGAGGUUCUCAGCCCAAGCUUCAAGUCCAGGGCCAGACCUUUUCCAGAUCUACAGGGAUUUUCAUUUCUGUAGUAUUUGUGUCUGUCCUCCCUACCCAUCUGUCCCCCGCGCAGCCCCAGGGAGGCCCCACCACUCCACCUGCCGCAGCUCCGCUGCACCGCCGCUUGCUCCGCAGCUUGCUCCUCCCCUAUGUGGGCAGUGACCCUGUGCUCACCCAGUCCUGACUUCAACCUGAGCUUCCCUCACUCAGCAGCCUUCUUCCUCCUGGAAUCAAGAUAUUUUCUGAAGAUGAGAAGGUGGAAUGUUUCAUGUUUGGAAUGCUUGUUUGCAAAAUGACUCUGUCCUUACAUAUUACAGAGUAUGGAUGAAGAAAAAGGAGCAAAUACUUAAUAUUUAUCAAUUAAAUAUCUUCAUAUAUACUCUGCUACCCACACCAUCAUUAGCUGUAGAUAAGAAAUGAAAAGAUCUUACUUUUGUCUAGAGUAGAAGAAUGGGGACCAAUAUCCUUAACUUAGUAGUGGUUACAGUACUGAUUACAACCAUGAUAUAUUUGUUAAAUUUUACAAAAAAGAGAAUUAUG
rnacentral:lncRNA from 1 species